UAGUGGAAGAACAGUUGAAUUUAGAUUAUGC
rnacentral:piRNA from 1 species